UUUUUGGCUUAGACAUUGUAUACAAAAUUGAUUAGGUUAAGAGUUUAGGUUAAGUAGGUAGACAUGUAGGUUAGGAAGUUAGUUUAAUUUAAUCAAAAUUUAAAAUAUACAUGCAAAUUAUUCAAAAUGUUCAUUACGAAUUUUCACUCAUUUUGAUGAAAAUGAAUGUCAAAAUUCAAUUGCUUGCAUAACAGCUCUAAAGUUAUGUAAAUCAAGAAGGAGGAGACCAAAAGAUUAUAAAAAUUUAUACAUCAGCAUUGUAUGAGUAAGUCGGCGGUUCACUUCUUCACGGACUUAUCUUUUUCACGCAGCUAGAUACGCAUAUUAUUUGUCUAAUUUGGUGCUCUCAUUUGAUUGAAAAAGUUGUAUACUAUAUAACGUUAAGACAUUAAGAUGUCCAUCAUUUGAUCCAAAUACUUAGAGAUAUUAAGGAAAGAGCAAAAAUUAUUUGCUCAUUCUCACCUACCAGACGUGACAAAAAUUGAUUAGAUAUACCAAUGAACUUGUCGAAAUGUCCAAAAUUCCAUUUUGGUACACCACCUGAUACUAAAAGUACUAUAUUGUUCAACUGAAAACGUAAACCUAUUACUGGUCCCAUGGAGGUACACUGGAAACUGUUCUGAAAUGGUUCGCGUUCUUUAAAUCGUUGAAGAAUCGGAAGAGUAUCAUCUGUUUUCCAAGCCAGGUAUCCCAUGUGCGAUACAAGGUGGAGUUAUUGGACCACUAACCAGAUGUGAUGAUGUAUUAGUAUUAAGUAUUUAUUUAGAUAUAAGAUAGUUUUAGGAUGAAAAAAAUUUGAAUAAAAAAUUUUAUGUGAAA